CGGAGGCUACCGCUAUUGGAGUCCGAUUAAGACAUGCGAGUCGAGAGCUUUCGGAGCUCGGCAUACUGCUCAGUAACACGUGGGUAACCUGCCCUGUGCUGGGGGAUAACCUCGGGAAACUGAGAACAAUACCCCAUAGUCCACUACGCCUGGAACGGUGAGUGGAUGAAAGCCCCGGCGGCACAGGAUGGGCCUGCGGCGUAUCAGGUAGUAGGGGGUGUAAAGUACCCUCUAGCCUUCGACGCGUACGGGUUGUGAGAGCAAUAGCCCGGAGAUGGAUCCUGAGACACGAACCCAGGUCCUACGGGACGCAGCAGUCGCGAAACCUUGACAAUGCGGGAAACCGUGAUCAGGGGACUCCAAGUGCCAGGAGUAAGAUCCUGUGCUUUUCUUUUCUCUUCAAAGGAUUUGGAAUAAGAGGUGGGUAAGGACGGUGCCAGCCGCCGCGGUAAUACCGGCGCCUCGAGUGGUAGUCGAUUUUAUUGGGCCUAAAACGUCCGUCGCCGGUCUGGUGCAUUCGUGGGUAAAUCAACCCGCUCAACGGGUUGAAUUCUGCGAGCACGGCCAGACUAGGGACCGGGAGAGGUGUGGGGUACGCUCGGGGGUAGGGGUAAAAUCCUGUCAUCCCGAGCGGACCACCUGUUGCGAAGGCUCCACACUAGAACGGAUCCGACGGUCAGGGACGAAGCCUAGGGGCACGAACCGGAUUAGAUACCCGGGUAGUCCUAGGUGUAAACGCUGUGGACUUGGUGUUGGGAGCUCCCAGAGGGCUCUCAGUGCCGUAGCGAAGGUGAUAAGUCCACUGCCUGGGGGAGUACGGUCGCAAGGCUGAAACUUAAGGAAUUGGCGGGG
rnacentral:rRNA from 1 species